UGUCAUAGUUCUCUGAGACUCAGAAAAA
rnacentral:piRNA from 2 species